AGGGUUGCAGCUCAGUGGUAGAGCACUUGCCUUGCAUGUGAGUGGCACUGGGUUCAAUCCUCAGCACCACAU
rnacentral:tRNA from 1 species